UNGAAGUGCCAAAAGAGGGUUCCACAGC
rnacentral:piRNA from 1 species